GGUGGUAUCUGCUCCACAUGCCCUACAGUACAUGGUUUGCUGUCCACCCGACUGGUGGCUUACCAGUGUUCAUAUGGCCUACUAUCAGACUCUGUUGGCACUGCCCAGGCCACCAGGAGGCCAGGAGAGUGGCCUUGAGAGUUGCCCCAUUGAUGGUGGUCCGAGGCCCAAGAUCACCAGGACUCAAGUUCUGUACUCUGUUGAAGAUCUGGCAUUCAUCUCAAGAGACCCCAACAACCGCUUUGAUCCAGAAAAAGAACUCUGAUAUGUACCAUCAGGAAAGAUGAUUCUACCACAAGAACAAGUGCUGACAAUGAUAAGACAAAUGCAUCAAUGGACCUACCUGAGGAUAUCAAGUUAACUCAAACUGCCUUAAGAUCUAAGAAUUAUGUUCCAGGACUGAAACAACCUGGUGGAACAAAUAGUUCACAGUUGUGUUCCCUGCCAAAAGGUAAAUGCUUGCAGAUGCAAAGCUGACCCCAGUAAGAGACCUCAGGGAGAUAAGCCAGGAACCCACUGGGAAGUGGAUUUCACCGAGAUAAAACCAGUCAAGAAUUUUAAUCUGAAUUAUUCAUAGAAGUGUCCUAAGAAAUUGAAAAUAUUUCAUUACUGAGUGACAUAUUUCUUCGAUGGAAGGCUAUACAAGCCAGAGGAGUUGACAGGAACAGAAGAAAAUUACAAAUAAAAUUACUGAUAACAUAGUACCUAGAAGCCACAACUGUUGUCAUUUG
rnacentral:lncRNA from 1 species